GACGAACGCUGGCGGCGUGCUUAACACACGCAAGUCGAACGAAGUGGCGAACGGGUGAGUAAUACGUGGGUAACCUGCCCUCCUUUUUGGGAUAAGCCUUGGAAACGGGGUCUAAUACCGAAUACAGUGGGAUGGGCUCGCGUCCUAUCAGCUUGUUGGUGUGGUGAUGGCCUACCAAGUCGGUGACGGGUAGCCGGCCUGAGAGGGUGACCGGCCACAUUGGGACGGAGAUACGGCCCAGACUCCUACGGGAGGCAGCAGUGGGGGAUAUUGCACAAUGGGCGAAAGCCUGAUGCAGCGACGCCGCGUGGGGGAUGAAGGCUUUCGGGUUGUAAAGCACUUUAAGUUGGGAGGCGUUACCUACAGAAUAAGCACCGGCUAACUUCGUGCCAGCCGCCGCGGUAAUAC
rnacentral:rRNA from 1 species